rnacentral:rRNA from 1 species
UGAAGCAGAGAGCUUGCUCUUGUGGAUCAGUGGCGAACGGGUGAGUAACACGUGAGCAACCUGCCCCGGACUCUGGGAUAAGCGCUGGAAACGGCGUCUAAUACUGGAUACGAGUAGCGACCGCAUGGUCAGCUAUUGGAAAGAAUUUCGGUCUGGGAUGGGCUCGCGGCCUAUCAGCUUGUUGGUGAGGUAAUGGCUCACCAAGGCGUCGACGGGUAGCCGGCCUGAGAGGGUGACCGGCCACACUGGGACUGAGACACGGCCCAGACUCCUACGGGAGGCAGCAGUGGGGAAUAUUGCACAAUGGGCGCAAGCCUGAUGCAGCAACGCCGCGUGAGGGAUGACGGCCUUCGGGUUGUAAACCUCUUUUAGUAGGGAAGAAGCGAAAGUGACGGUACCUGCAGAAAAAGCGCCGGCUAACUACGUGCCAGCAGCCGCGGUAAUACGUAGGGCGCAAGCGUUAUCCGGAAUUAUUGGGCGUAAAGAGCUCGUAGGCGGUUUGUCGCGUCUGCUGUGAAAUCUGGGGGCUCAACCCCCAGCCUGCAGUGGGUACGGGCAGACUAGAGUGCGGUAGGGGAGAUUGGAAUUCCUGGUGUAGCGGUGAAAUGCGCAGAUAUCAGGAGGAACACCGAUGGCGAAGGCAGAUCUCUGGGCCGUAACUGACGCUGAGGAGCGAAAGGGUGGGGAGCAAACAGGCUUAGAUACCCUGGUAGUCCACCCCGUAAACGUUGGGAACUAGUUGUGGGGUCCAUUCCACGGAUUCCGUGACGCAGCUAACGCAUUAAGUUCCCCGCCUGGGGAGUACGGCCGCAAGGCUAAAACUCAAAGGAAUUGACGGGGACCCGCACAAGCGGCGGAGCAUGCGGAUUAAUUCGAUGCAACGCGAAGAACCUUACCAAGGCUUGACAUAUACGAGAACGGGCCAGAAAUGGUCAACUCUUUGGACACUCGUAAACAGGUGGUGCAUGGUUGUCGUCAGCUCGUGUCGUGAGAUGUUGGGUUAAGUCCCGCAACGAGCGCAACCCUCGUUCUAUGUUGCCAGCACGUAAUGGUGGGAACUCAUGGGAUACUGCCGGGGUCAACUCGGAGGAAGGUGGGGAUGACGUCAAAUCAUCAUGCCCCUUAUGUCUUGGGCUUCACGCAUGCUACAAUGGCCGGUACAAAGGGCUGCAAUACCGCGAGGUGGAGCGAAUCCCAAAAAGCCGGUCCCAGUU